rnacentral:rRNA from 1 species
AUUGAACGCUGGCGGCAUGCCUUACACAUGCAAGUCGAACGGCAGCACGGGUGCUUGCACCUGGUGGCGAGUGGCGAACGGGUGAGUAAUACAUCGGAACAUGUCCUGUCGUGGGGGAUAGCCCGGCGAAAGCCGGAUUAAUACCGCAUACGAUCUACGGAUGAAAGCGGGGGACCUUGGGGCCUCGCGCUAUAGGGUUGGCCGAUGGCUGAUUAGCUAGUUGGUGGGGUAAAGGCCUACCAAGGCGACGAUCAGUAGCUGGUCUGAGAGGACGACCAGCCACACUGGAACUGAGACACGGCCCAGACUCCUACGGGAGGCAGCAGUGGGGAAUUUUGGACAAUGGGCGAAAGCCUGAUCCAGCAAUGCCGCGUGUGUGAAGAAGGCCUUCGGGUUGUAAAGCACUUUUGUCCGGAAAGAAAUCCUUGGCCCUAAUACGGUCGGGGGAUGACGGUACCGGAAGAAUAAGCACCGGCUAACUACGUG